rnacentral:rRNA from 1 species
AUUGAACGCUGGCGGCAGGCCUAACACAUGCAAGUCGAGCGAGCGGCGGACGGGUGAGUAAUGUCUGGGAAACUGCCUGAUGGAGGGGGAUAACUACUGGAAACGGUAGCUAAUACCGCAUACCAUACGAUGUGCCCAGAUGGGAUUAGCUCGUAGGUGGGGUAAUGGCUCACCUGGGCGACGAUCCCUAGCGGGGCUGAGAGGGUGACCAGCCACACUGGAGCUGGGGCACGGGCCAGAAUCCUACGGGAGGCAGCAGUGGGGAAUGUUGCACAAUGGGCGCAGGCCGGAUGCAGCCAUGCCGCGUGGGUGAAGAAGGCCUUCGGGUAGUAAAGCACUUUCAGCGAGGAGGCGUUACUCGCAGAAGAAGCACCGGCUAACUCCGUGAGAGCAGCCGCGGUAAUAC